CCAGAAAAAACUAAAAUUUUAAGCCCACCAACAAUGUGCAGAUCAGAGUUCUUCUCUGCUCUGCGUAGCCCCCCUCGAAUCUGAUCCCCUUCAUUCUGGUGACGGAAUAACUCCUAUUGAUGAUGGGUGCAAUCAAUUAACCCCAAUAUCUGUUCUUCAAUGCCGACUUCUCACCUCCCACAUCAACGGAUGCUACUAUAUCAAAGUGCUCAUGAGAAAUCACAAAUCUUCUUCAAAUUAUAGUAGCCUAAAAACCCUAGAAGAGUACCAUAAGAAUGCAGUUGUUACACGUUUUCUGCGGUUUUGGGAGGCUAGGAAUGUGAAGAAAGGACGAGAGCUCACGUCUUCCUCGAUGAGAAGUCUACGCUGGUCCAAGGGUCAAUUGGUGCUUAUAGACUGAACCGCUAUACUUAAAGGAUUCUCAGUUCAGAGAAGGGGACAGAGCAGAGUAUCAGUUCAGAAUGACAGCUACUGUACUCGACAAUGUAACUCAGGUUCCUCUAUAGUUUUAAAUCCAUUCUUGAGAAAUUCCUUCUCGGAUCAUUAAUUGAUGUGUUUAUAAACCUUCAGGUUACUAAUCUAUUUUAAAUUCAAGGAACUCAUCGUAAAGGUUUCUUUGAAUCGAUUAGGCUAACAUGGACUAAACUCCUGAAUGGUUUAGUAGAUUUUAUCACCAGAUAAACUUACAGAAACAAAUGCUUAAGUUUCUUCGACUUCAGCUGUCAUGUUCAAUACAUGUGCUUAAGCUGGACGGUUAUGUUCGUUCUCCUCCUCGCUCUCUUCCCAACCAGUAGGGUAACAGUAAAUGACUGAUGCUUGGAAGUUAAAAGUGAUUGAGCUUGAGCUGAAAAGUGAAAAACUGGCCAACUAUCUUCUGUAGGCAUUGUGGGAGAGCUGCGUGCAAGGGAACUUCUACACCUGCACCCUGUGCCCAGAAUCUCUUACGGCAACCAACGUCCGCCUGUUCAGCGUUUUGUAGACCAGGUUGUGUUGUAUCUGGAUUCAAAAUUAAAAUGCUCAAAUAAAUCCAACUCUAACCUUCAUAAGUCCACGCUGAGAAGGUGAUGAUCACCCGACAUGCCUGGUGCUGUCAGCAAAACUAAACAGCCUACUUCUAAGCUGAACAAGAGUGGACCAGAGAACAAGACAAAAGCUGGUGACACAUGUUGAAUGCGAAAAAUCCUGCUAAUUGCCAGUUUAAUGAUUGCAACUUCUUUGAUUAUUUUGAACCAAGCGUGUGUAUAUAAUUCAUUUUGUUUCAACAAUACUUCUUCUUCUUUUUCGUGAGGAAAACAAAUAGUAGUAUUUUAUCAUUAA